rnacentral:antisense_RNA from 17 species
GGUAACCAAAGAUAAUAUUGGGGUUUAGAGUAAGAUUCGUAAUUUCUCUUACAUCUCCGCCACCGGGUGCCCAUGUAUCAUACAACCCUCCGAAAUAGAGUGCUUUGAAAACCAGUAGGAAAGCGCCGAAACCUAGUAAUAUUAGAUGAAUACCGAGAAUUGUAGUCAUCUUAUUUUUAUCCUUCCA